AUUGAACGCUGGCGGAAUGCUUUACACAUGCAAGUCGAACGGCAGCACGGACUUCGGUCUGGUGGCGAGUGGCGAACGGGUGAGUAAUACAUCGGAACGUGCCCAGUCGUGGGGGAUAACGUAGCGAAAGCUACGCUAAUACCGCAUACGAUCUAAGGAUGAAAGCGGGGGAUCGCAAGACCUCGCGCGAUUGGAGCGGCCGAUGGCGGAUUAGGUAGUUGGUGGGGUAAAGGCCUACCAAGCCGACGAUCUGUAGCUGGUCUGAGAGGACGACCAGCCACACUGGGACUGAGACACGGCCCAGACUCCUACGGGAGGCAGCCGUGUGGAAUUUUGGACAAUGGGCGCAAGCCUGAUCCAGCCAUUCCGCGUGCAGGAUGAAGGCCCUCGGGUUGUAAACUGCUUUUGUACGGAACGAAAAGGCUCUGGUUAAUACCCGGGGCUCAUGACGGUACCGUAAGAAUAAGCACCGGCUAACUACGUGCCAGCCGCCGCAGUAA
rnacentral:rRNA from 1 species